ensembl:lncRNA ZNF132-DT ZNF132 divergent transcript
GGGACUUCCGUCGUCGUCCUCGGACCAUCACUUUGGCAUUUCUCGAUUUUGUCUGCUUCUGAAGGGACCGCGUUGUCAGGCGAGGGACGGAAUCUUGGAGGCUCCCUGGGCCCAUGGAAACAGGAGCGAGGAAGGCACGAGAGUCGGGGAAGUUCCGCCUUCUUGACAUACAAGCGCCCCCACCGCGGCGAAUAUCGCCCCUGAGCCCAGUGUUCGCCCCCCACAACACCGCACCCCCCUUCCCCACCCUGUGCCUUAGAUAAAGCCGGCCCAGUGGGACCCUCAGGUUGCACCGCGCGGAGGUGUCCGCGGCUCUCGGGAGUCGUCGCCCUUGGCGUUAUGUUGGCUUUAGGGAGCGCGAGGCCGAGGCCAAGAAAAGCUACGCAUUGGGAGGUCUUGACCCAGUGUGCGCCCGGCUGUAGGCAUGGAACGUGCGCCAAAGGUCUCCUGGCACCCACUCCGCUGGACUCAGCACCAUUGUCCUAAGUCUCCGAUUGAGAAGUAUCUGCCCCAGGUCCUCUGCGGGCCCCACUGAACAGUGUGGAGCGUUCACAGGUUGGGGGUCACCAUUUCAGAAUCCAGUUUGUUGAGACGUGGAGGGUACAGGAGGAGGGAUCUGCAUAUGCGAAGACUUGGACUUGACCCUGACCUGAGCGUUCAGGCAGGCUCUCAUGCCCCCUUGGCAGCGAGUGGAGAGCGUAAGAGGAGUCCUGCCUCUCCUGGCACACCGAGGGCGCCUGGGAGCCAUGAAAGGUGUUGAACAGAAAAGGGAUGGACAUGACCUGAGUUAGAAUUUGGAAAGUAUUUCAGUGGUUGCUGAAUGAACACACUACUGGAGAAGGUGGUUGUAGUGGGGCUGGAAGCAGGGAGACUGUGGGGGAGGUUAUUGCAGUAUUGUUCCAGACAGUUAUGAUAGUGGCCUGUCCAGAACGGAAGCAAGAAGGAUGGGAGAAGUGAUCAGAUUCCCAGUGGAUCUUCAAGAUAGAGCUAAUGGAAUUUUUUGCUACCUUAGAUAAGUGGAAUAAGCAUGAGUAGGGGUGAAGGACCAUCCCAAGUAGUUAGGAAGAAUUAGGAUGCCUCCUGUGGAGAAUAGAGGUUGGCAGUUGGCAGGAGGAGGAUGUUUCAUGGAAGAUUAGCGAUGGAUUUUGUAGGUAUAGAGUCUGAAUUGUCUGGAGACCUGUGAGUGGAGGUGUCAAAUGGGCCUCUGGAUAUAUAGAAUUCUGGUGUGGCUUCAGGACGUCCAGACUGCAUUAUGUUGGUGGCCUGGCCCAGUGAACGGCCUGAGGAUAGGAUUUGGGAAGGAGGGUUUUAGGUUGGAGGACCAGUGGCUAGGGCUCACGCUCAGUGCUUAGAUCACAUCUGUCUGCCCAUUGGCUUGGUGUUGCAGGGCUUAAUGACCUUUGAGGACAGGGUCAGUACAUCUUCCAAGAAUGUGGGGCUCCUUAGUGAGGUCCAAGGGGGCUUCUACAGUGACAUGAUACUACAGAGCUUUGUACUCCAGUGCCCACUAGGUAAGGCUACUGUGUCUCCUCUUUCCCCUACACAUGAAAUCUAGGUUUUCCUCCGCCUUUCCAUUGUUCCCUCUGGGAGGUGCUGCUGGCCCUGGCACUGGCCAGUGUCCUGCUGUGUCCGGAAUUGUUUCCUUCCUCUGGGUUCUUGGUCUCGCUGACUUCAAGAAUAAAGCCGCGGACCCUCGUGUUGAGUGUUACAGUUCUUUUUUUUUUUUUUUUUUGAGACGGAGUCUCGCUCUGUCGCCCAGGCCGGACUGCGGACUGCAGUGGCGCAAUCUCGGCUCACUGCAAGCUCCGCUUCCCGGGUUCACGCCAUUCUCCUGCCUCAGCCUCCCGAGCAGCUGGGACUACAGGCGCCCGCCACCGCACCCGGCUAAUUUUUUUUUUUUGUAUUUUUAGUAGAGACGGGGUUUCACCUUGUUAGCCAGGAUGGUCUCGAUCUCCUGACCUCAUGAUCCACCCGCCUCGGCCUCCCAAAGUGCUGGGAUUACAGGCGUGAGCCACCGCGCCCGGCCCUGUUACAGUUCUUAAAGAUGGUGUGUCCGGAGUUUGUUCCUUCAGAUGUUCAGAUGUGUCUGGAGUUUUUUCCUUCUGGUGGGUUCGUGGUCUUGCUGACUUCAGGAGUGAAGCUGCAGACCUUCGCAGUGAGUGUUACAGCUCUUAAAGGUGGCACAUCCAGAGUUGUUCAUUCCUCCUGGUGGGUUCGUGGUCUCGCUGACCUCAGGAGUGAAGCUGCAGACCUUUGCAAUGAGUGUUACAGCUCGUAAAGGUGGCGUGUCCAAUGUUGUUUGUUCCUCCCAGUGGGUUUGUGGUCUCGCUGGCUUCAGGAGUGAAGCUGCAGACCUUUGUGGUGAGUGUUAUAGCUCAUAAAGGUAGUGUGGACCCAAAGAGUGAGCAGCAGCAAGAUUUAUUGCGAAGAGCAAAAGAAUAAAGCUUCUACAGCAUGGAAGAGGACCCGCGGGUUGCCGCUGCUGGCUUGGGUGGCCAGCUUUUAUUCUAUUUGGCCCUGCCCACAUCCUGCUGAUUGGUCCAUUAUACAGAGCACUGAUUGGUCCAUUUUACAGAGCACUGAUUGGUCCAUUUUACAGAGCACUGAUUGGUCCAUUUUUACAGAGUGCUGAUUGGUGAGUUUACAAACCUAUAGCUAGACACAGAGUGCUGAUUGGUGCAUUUACAAUCCUUUAGCUAGACAGAAAAGUUUUCCAAGUCCCCAGCCAAUUAGCUAGACACAGAGCGCUGAUUGGUGCGUUUACUAACCUUUAGGGAGACACAGAGCGCUGAUUGGUGCAUUUUUACAGAGUGCUGAUUGGUGCGUUUACAAACCUUUAGCUAGACACAGAGCGCUGAUUGGUGUGUUGGCAGUCCUUUAGCCGGACAGAAAAGUUCCCCAAGUCCCCACUGGACCCAGAAGCCCAGCCGGCUUCACUUUUCACUGCUACUUAUCCCUGGCUGCUGCAUAAACAACCCCCACACCUUCCCUGGGAUCUUGACAACCUUGUGAAGCCACAGUGAUGGUCCCUGCACCCACUCCCACGCCCUUGUCCAGCUCUAGAGGCCUCCUGUAGCCCAACCCACAAGCCACAAAAUGAGGACCAUCAUGGCGGUGCCGGAAAUCUCACCCCUCAAUGCCCACCUGGAAUCGGAAGUCUCAAAACCUGUGUAGCAUAUCACAUGCAGCUGGGUCGUUUCCUGGCUAGGUUACCCUGUCAGGAUCUGUGACUUUUCUGUCCUUUCUGCCACAUUCCCUCACUCUAGUAGGAGUUUUCUGCCAGCUGUCCCUUGUGAGUCCCAGUGGGCACUGACAUGGUCAUUGAUUGUGGGGUCACUGAGCAUUGACUUUGUGAAGUUCAGUUCUUUCCAGCUAUAUACCUGCAUAGGUGAUCUUCACCUACGGUGAUUUGUCAUGGGGUGGAUCACCUUGACGUGGGCUGCCUUCUCACAAACCACUUGAUGAGAGCUGUAUAGGAUCACUGCCACCACCCCCGCCAUGUGAUCACCUAACUAGAACAAAUGAAGAGACCUGGCUGGUGGACAGGGUGGCUUGAAUUAGGCCAUGGACAGAGAGGCCCCAUGGUGCACCAGUUCUGUUGAGUGGAAGACAGCUGUGGCAGAGCUGUUGGCAGUGCCCUGGUGGCUCACCUGGUACCUGAGUUGUGCCCUCUGUUGUCCUGGCACCAGGAUGUAUAGCUGUGCCUUUUAAAAAAAAUUUUCCUGACCUUCUUCUGACACUCUAUCCUACUUUGCCCUGACUCCUGUUCCCUGGAUGGCUUCCUCUCUGUCUUCCAAGAUUCACUCUUUCCCCUUCUCCCGUCCUCCCCUCCAGUGGCCAGGUCUUCUACCAUUGGCCUCCCUUUAAUGUGUCUUGAACGGAUAAUGUAUCUUUAAAUAGUUGUUAUCUGCACAUGGUGGCUCAUAACUACAGUCCCAACUACUUGGGAUGCUGAGGCAGGAGGAGCGCUUGAGACCAGGAGUUUGAGUCCAGCUUGGGCAACAUAACGAGAUCCUAUCUCUAAAAUAAAUAAAUAAAUACAUAGAUACCUAAAUAGUUUUUGAAAACCUCUUCUUCCGUGAGACUGGCUUGUUCCAUUUGAGGAGUAUGGGCAUAGGUGUCAAUGGUUCAAGACCUGGACUUCGCUCACUGCAUGGUACUGACCUGUCACCAGACACUAGGGCCCUGCAGCUCCACAUUUUGCAGAACCUACAGAGAACUGACACUGAAGAGAUAGCUGAUAAAUACACAGCAUAUGGAAAGGUGUUUGAGGGGAAGCAAGCCUUUUCUCCUACCAAAAAACUUCACAGUGGAAAAAAUUGCAAGUGUAUUAUGAGCAUGGGAAGGCCUUCACUUUUGUCUUCAUCCUGAGAAAGCAGGAGUACAUGCACAUCUUCAAAGGCCCUUACAAGUAUAGUAACAUGGGGAAUCCUCCAGCCAGAACUCUACCUCCUUUGAGCACCAAUAUGUUCACCCCAGAGAAAGUCCCCAUAAGCGCAAGGAGUGUGGUCCAGCCAUGAGCAAAAUUUUGCAAAACUCUCCUCUGUAUCAAAAUGGUCAUACCCUAAUGAAGGACUCCUAAGUUCAGGGAAUGUGGGGCACUGCCAGCUGUCCUGGUGGCUUCCCUGGUACCUGACUUGAGGUUCAUACAUGUUAUAUUCAGAGUUCUGCUUUCAUUAGCAAAAACAAAUUAACACCGGAAAAUGGUUGUACAAAUGCAAUAACUACAUGAAAGCUUUCAGUGAAAUAUGAAACCUCAUCCUGCAGAAUUCUCAUCAGAGAGGCCCAGUGCAUGCAGCUAAUGUUGGAAAGCCUAUUCUCAAUUUUAAUCCUAUUUAGCACCAGCAAUUUACAGCAUUGUGAGUGUAGCAUGUAGGAGAGCAAAAAAUUGCAGCUCCUGCCUUGAUGUGCACAAAGUGAUUCACACUGGAAAAACCCUCUAUGAGUGCAGCCAGCAUGGGAGAGCAUCGGCCACAGCUCCUGCCUUGCUUGGCACCAGAAACUUCACCCUGGAGAAAAGCCUUUUGAUUAUAGUAAAUGUAGGAAAGUCUUCACCUCCCUUAUUUAGUAUAAAAGAAUUCACACUGGCCAGGUGUGGUGGCUCAUGCCUGUAAUCCCAGCACUUUGGGAGGCUAAGGCAGGGGGAUCACCUGAGGUCAGGAGUUUGAGACCAACCUGGCUAACAUGGCAAACCCCCUCUUUACAAAAAAUACAAAAAUCAGCUGGGCAUGGUAACGCCCAUCUGUAAUCCCAGCUACACCAGAGGCUGAGGCAGGAGAAUUGCUUGACCUCAGGGGGCAGAGGUUGCAGUGAGCUGAGUUAGAGCCACUGCACCCCAGACUGGGUGACAGAGCAAGACCCUGUCUCCCUCACCAAAAACAAACAAACAAACAAACAAAAAA